rnacentral:rRNA from 1 species
GACGAACGCUGGCGGCGCGCCUAACACAUGCAAGUCGAACGAGCGCGAGAUAGCUUGCUUUCUCGAGCGAGUGGCGAACGGGUGCGUAACGCGUGAGGAACCUGCCUCACAGAGGGGUACAACAGUUGGAAACGACUGCUACUACCGCAUAAGCUCACGGCUCGGCAUCGAGCCGGGGGAUAAUGAGCACUCCGCUUUGGGAUUGCCUCGCUUCCGAUUAGCUAGUUGGUCGGGUAACGGCCCCCCCAGGCCACGAAAGGUAGCCGGAAAGAGAGGUUGAACGGACACAUUGGGAGGAAGAAACGGUCGAGAAUACUGCGGGAGGCAGGAGAGGGGGAUAUAGCACAAUGGGGGAAAUCAAGAAGCAGCGAGGGCGGGUGGAGGAAGAAGGUCUUCGGAUAGUGAAGUCCGGUAGUAGGGGAAGGUAAUGACGGUACCCAACAAGGAAGCGACGGCUAACUACGUG